AACUCAUUUUAUUCUGGUGAAUGUAUUAAACCUCUACAUCAAUCGGACAUGGAGUUUUUUGAAUAACCAGCCGUAAACAUUAAUUAAUGCUAGAAAUAGUGAAUUAGUGAAGUAGAGUAUAUCAUUAACAAAAUAGGUGCCAGCAGUUGCGGUCAUACCUGAAAUGAUUUAAUACCUUUAGGAGGGCAUAGUACAAAGACUAAGAAAAAAGAAACAUCCAUCAGUAAAAUGCUGAUGUUUUAGUAGUUGCCGUAUUCUUAGUAGUACUUGUAAUGCCGAAACUCUUUAAAAUUAGCAAACUAGGAUUAGAUACCCUACUAUGGAGAGCGCAAGUCACCACACCUAAGCACUAAAACCUAUGUAAUGGUUAAAACUUAAAGAUUAUGGCGGCAACUUAAAAUACUCAGGGGAACUUACCAGGUAAUCGACAGCACCCGUGAGGCACUACUCACUUUAAUAAUUUAUAUAUUGCCGUUUAGGGUUUUGUUUAAGAAUACCUAAUAAUGUUAUAACAUUUAAAACAGGUCAUGAUGUAGUUUAUGAGUGAGUCUUAAGGUGAGUUACAGUAUUAAUUUUUUUUUCAGAGUUGAGUUUAAAUAUCUCGACACAAGGUGGACUUGAAAGUAAAGAUCACUUCAUAAUAAAUCUUGAAUAAUAGUUUAAGUUGUGCACAAAUCGCCCGUCGCUCUAACCUUACUUACCUUUCCUACGUAAGUAAUAAUUAGAUAAGUCGUAACACAGUAGGUGUAAAUGAAUUUGCACCUGUUUGUGA
rnacentral:ncRNA from 1 species